CAGGUACAGCCUCGGAGUAGACACCGACAGGCCGGGCUUCUUCCGAUCUACACCUUCACUCUAUCUCUCUCAAUCUAGUAGAACUAGUCUACUCUCACAUUGGAUGCUACGCCCUAUGAGGUGGGAACCCUAAGGAACCUCUCUCUCUGAAUCCUCUCUGGAAAAUAUGCUAAUGAAUAAUUGGAUUCUCCCCUCCAGUGGCCAGGGGGCCUUGCUUAUAUAGUCUUUUCAAAUGAAU
rnacentral:lncRNA from 1 species